rnacentral:rRNA from 1 species
GAUGAACGCUAGCGGGAGGCCUAACACAUGCAAGCCGAGCGGGAUUUGUUGGUUAGCUUGCUAACUAACAAUGAGAGCGGCGUACGGGUGCGUAGCACGUGUGCAACCUGCCUUUAUCUGGGGGAUAGCCUUUCGAAAGGAAGAUUAAUACCCCAUAACAUAUUGAUUGGCAUCAGUUAAUAUUGAAAGCUCCGGCGGAUAGAGAUGGGCACGCGUAAGAUUAGCUAGUUGGUGAGGUAACGGCUCACCAAGGCUGCGAUCUUUAGGGGGCCUGAGAGGGUGAUCCCCCACACUGGUACUGAGACAAGGACCAGACUCCUACGGGAGGCAGCAGUGAGGAAUAUUGGACAAUGGGCGAGAGCCUGAUCCAGCCAUCCCGCGUGAAGGACUAAGGACCUAUGGUUUGUAAACUUCUUUUAUACAGGGAUAAACCUACUCUCGUGAGGGUAGCUGAAGGUACUGUAUGAAUAAGCACCGGCUAACUCCGUG